CCUGCGCAGUCGCCGAAUCCCGCAUGCGCGGAACAGCACCACCUGCACCAAGGGAACCGGGGAACCAAUCCUUGGGGUGAAUCGGGCCCCUCCGCGAGGAGGGAACCGUAGGAGACCUUCCUGCUCCGAACCCGUCAGCUAACCCGGUAGGCGAGAAGGAAGGAAAGG
rnacentral:sRNA from 1 species